AUCAACCAUCAUCACCAUCACCAUCGUCAUCCUCAACUCCCCUAACAGCAUCUUUGAGCAUCCCCUACCGCAAUGCACUGCGCACUAUCAAGGUUACCAUAGUAAAACCCACACAUGCAGUCUGAACGCGUUUUCUGUUGAGAUGGUAUGAAGUUAUUAUUGCUCCAGUGCAGUGACGCGCGUCCCGUCGCAGCUGUCCCGGACCGGUUCUGACUCGGUUUCACUGCAGAUGUGGUCUGUGGCGUCUCAUCACACAUGGAAGACUCUCAUUUACACUACGACUGAAGAAAAGCUCUUAGGCUGAUAUACUGUGGAUUGCCUGAUGCACAGAAGAAUGUUUCAGCCUAACUUUGUUAAAUCUCGGGACUCUGUACCUCCGGUUUGAUGUUUGGCCCACAGAGGAGAUGGAAAGGAAGUAGUCCGGCUCUCGUUUGCAGCGCAGGGUGAGCAGUACAAGACCGGCCGCAUACAGCAGGUUGAGGAGGAGGACGGGCACCAGGGUCGUGACGGGAAUCCUGUACAUUUCUGCCGUGCGUGAGUGCAGCGACGCUCCAACAUGAGACCACUGGCACUGUGGUGGACAGAAGCACAAGAUGUUGUUUUUGUGGGUGAGAGUUUUGUAUAAUCAAUAAGACAAUUUUCACCUGGUAAAAGGAAAGGACUUUUGGUCACCUUGAUUUGGGCCAAAACACAAAUCAUUUCCCAUACAAUGACAUAACUUGUUGCUUAAAGGAAUAGUUCACCCCAAAAA
ensembl:lncRNA